UAUUUUGAGGUAAGGGAUGUUAUUUCUUUCGCAAAUGAUAUUAUUUUCUUCAAUAUCAUUAUGCCAAAAUCUUUGUUGAACUUUUUAUCAAAUUUCAUGAGUUACUAUUCACGAGUUACUAUUUAUGAGUUCCUAUUCACGAGUUACUAUUCAUGAGUUACUAUUCACGAAGCGUGAAGAUAUUUUUUGUGAAAUUUCUAUCUUUUUGUGUCGGGGUUACUAUUCACGUAUACGGCACUAUUCACAAAUACGGCACUAUUCACCGAAAAAUGAAAUUUUUUUUUUUGUCCAAGAUGUCUAUUUCGGCUACUAUCUUUGAUUGGAUCCAUGUUUUGAUCGUUAUUUUUGAGUUCUGCUUCAAAAUCGUUUAUUAUGAAGUAUUAUUGAUCUUGGAUAAACUGUUGUACGAAUCCCUAAUAUUUGUCCUUCUAUAUCACUGGAUUCGUUCUUAAAAAUGUUUUUCAUCAUCCUCAGUCCUUAAUGGUGAUACUUGAUGAAUAUCUUUGGCCUGUAGUGCAAAGAUGAAUGAUUAAACUGAUGAAUCUCUUUGGCCCGUAGUGCAAAGAUGAACAGGUGUUGAGAUGAACAUGACCAACUGGUGAUAUAAAUG
rnacentral:lncRNA from 1 species